AAGUGCGAAAUGUGAUGCGAUUUGCAUAAUCUGUGAGUCAUCUAAUCUUUGAACGCAACUUGCGCCGAUACAUGUCGGCAUGUAUGUUCGAGGACAACAACUAAACUGCGUAAAGCGAAAUGAUCCGAUGGUAUCGGAUUUAAAUAUGGCAGACUAGUGAUUGAUUUGGAGCGAUUCUAUUUGCCAGUGCGGUUGGGCAUGUCAGUAGGAUUGUGAUCCAAAGGGUGUUUUGUCUCGAAUCAUGCAGGAUUACCCGCUGAACUUAA
rnacentral:misc_RNA from 1 species